AAAAUUCCUCGUUAGCAUGAGGCGUUUGCACAAACACAGGCUGCUGCCCAGAAAUGUCGAAAGACGCCAAUGGGUAGACAAGGUAUGGUCGGCAUAAGGCUUUACCCGAGGUAGCUGGUUCUUCGAAAACCUACGUUGUGCACUGCCGAAAGUCUACGAGUGGGGAAAUGA
rnacentral:sRNA from 2 species